UGGGGAAUAUUGCACAAUGGGCGCAAGCCUGAUGCAGCCAUGCCGCGUGUGUGAAUAAGGCCUUCGGGUUGUAAAGCACUUUCAGCGGGGAGGAAGGCGUUAAGGUUAAUAACCUUGGCGAUUGACGUUACCCGCAGAAGAAGCACCGGCUAACUCCGUGCCAGCAGCCGCGGUAAUACGGAGGGUGCAAGCGUUAAUCGGAAUUACUGGGCGUAAAGCGCACGCAGGCGGUCUGUCAAGUCGGAUGUGAAAUCCCCGGGCUCAACCUGGGAACUGCAUUCGAAACUGGCAGGCUAGAGUCUUGUAGAGGGGGGUAGAAUUCCAGGUGUAGCGGUGAAAUGCGUAGAGAUCUGGAGGAAUACCGGUGGCGAAGGCGGCCCCCUGGACAAAGACUGACGCUCAGGUGCGAAAGCGUGGGGAGCAAACAGG
rnacentral:rRNA from 1 species